AUGAAUAGGAGCCUGUCUUUGACCCCUUUCACCAGAGUUGUACAGCACUAGGCUUCGAAGGGUAGAUAAGCUUUGAUAUGUGAAAGAUCCGAUUAUUUGCUUGUGGACUACAGAUCAUUGACCCAGAGGGUUUACCUAAAAUACAGAUAAUGACAGAGCGCACUAUUUAUAGGGUAGAAAGCUAGUGCAAGGCCACACUCAAAUCUGAUUAAGACACUACAAGACACAUGCACGUUAGCUGAAGCUUCUAAAGAAUUUCCAUCUUUCCACAUUAUCGAGGAACACACUACAAGUCUCUAAGGGGCCAUUUUCGAUCUGCUUGUAGCAGGAGGGAGAAGCAGUCACAAGAAUUGUGAAAGACAAAGGAAUAGACAAAUUGUCGAAAGUUGCAUGAAUACAGUACAAACGCCUAACAAAUCGCGAGCGCGACAACGAGGACAACAGCAACAAAAAAAAAGAGAAGCGUAAAACGUCAAGGAUUUUAACAAGGCUAAGCCUACCUGUGGUGAGAUAUUACGUGAAGGUAUCCAUGAAUCAUUAACUUGCCUCGUGAAAAAAACAAACAAACAUUGUAAGGUCAGCCUAAACCGCGUUUGACUGGCUUGAGAAAAGCUUGUUAUUAAGUCUUUUUAUUAGUUUUCUUCGCUUUUCAUCUGAAAUUACAUGAGUAUGGUUUUGUUGUCGAAAGUCCCAUGAAUACAGUACAUAGCGCCUAAAAAAUCGCAUUUCUGACUACGAGGACAACAGCAACAAGAAAAAGGGAAGCGUAAAACGACAAGGAUUUUAACAAGGCUAAGCCUACCUGUGGUGAGAUAUUACGUGAAGGUAUCCACGAGUCAUUAACUUGCCUCGUGAAAAAAACAAGCAAACACACAUUGUGAGGUCAGCCUUAACCGAGCCUUUACUGGCUCGAGGAAAGCUUGUUAUUCGUCUUUUUAUUAGUUUUCUUCGCUUUUCAUCUGACUUGAGUAUGGUUUUGGUCUUAAUGGAGAGCGUCAGCAGAGUCUUCAUUUCUUUAAAAUCAUUCCGUUUGCAAUUAAUAGUUGGUCAUUAACAUUAAAUGAAGAAAAUGCCCUUAUUUAUGAAUGAGAAUCAAUCUCUUUUUUAGUAAACGCAUGCGGGUAACGUUUGAAGAAAGCAUGGGUGAAUUUCUAAUAACGAAUUCAUUCUAGCAUAGCGCAUCAGUGAUAAAAACAACAAUUAGGGCUUACUGCAAGACGUGUGCCACCGGGCGGAAAUAGCUUCGCCGCGCAGCUCAUUCGAACUCGAGAGUUAUACCUGACUAGACAGCUAUUAGCGCAAAACAUCGCACAUGAAGUCAUAUCAAACGAGGAAACAAGAAAAAUAUGCCAAUGUUGACUCUCGAUGGAAAAUAAUGCUUUCUCCUUUUGUAUUAAAUCGAUUUGAUCUGUGUCACAAAAGGCGGGCGGAGCCAUUUUAUGGUUCGUUCUCACGGCGAUAGGUUAAUGUGUGUUUUAAAAUUCAUACAAACAACAAUUAAUAUCAAAAGAUUGCAGUUAAAAGGUAAAAAUGAAUAAUAAGAUCGAUAAGGUAAUUUAGCCGCAGGAGAAAUCUUUUAGCCAAAGCAAUAAUUCUUUAUACAACAAUACUAAAACACGUACAAUUAAACAAGCCAGCUUAAAAUAAUAACAAAACGAUGAGUAAAAACCGUACACCAUUAACCACGUGACGAAAUCACUUUUUUCUAUGUGGGUUCUAUUUGCGCUUGUCGCGGUUUCAAAUUCAUUAUGAAAAGCAUGAAAAUAUACUGAACUCAUUUAUUUUUUAUUUUCUUGACAACCAAGCUUGUAAUACGUUUUAUUGUUAUUUGUUAUGUAUUUGCUGGAGGGGUAUGUCGUUACUAUAGCAUACUGGAUCACCGUCCAUUAGCGAUAACUACUGAUCGCUCACGAGUUUCCGCCUGAAGUGAUACGAUCGGUAGCGAGACAAAUGCUGCCCUACAAGCGAUGAGCACACUUAAUCUACACAAUGACACUAUUUAUUUUC